rnacentral:tRNA from 1 species
GUCGUGUUCGUCUAGCUGGCUAAGGACGCCGGGCUUUCAUUCCGGAUACGCGGGUUCAAAUCCCGCACGCGACACCA